GCGCGUCGAAGACAGCAGCGCCCACCAGCAGAUGCAGAGAACCCAAAGCCCUGCAGGAUGGCAAAGCUGCAACAUGGAAGUCACCCGGAUCACCACGUAAAGGAAAUCUCUCCAACCAGGAACAAAUACCUGCCUUGCAAUAUUAGGUGGCCACCAGACUUUCUCUGCUUGUAUCCUCCCAGGACCACAGAACUCAUCGCAUCCCAAGGCAGCCUAUUCCAUCAUGGAUGAGCUCAAAGUGUUUGAAAGUUCUGCUUUAUCAAGUGAGCCAAACUUCCUCCCUCAGGACCAUCCACUCCAGGGCCCAGUUAUUCUACUGGAGGAGUGAGGGUAAAGCCAUCACCAGGACAACCUUGGUGACAGGCUGGACUGGCAGCCAGCUUUUGGGGAUGACUUCAGGGAACCCUGAAUAGCCAUGGGAACCAAAUGUGUUACUCCUCUGAUGCCUAUAA
rnacentral:antisense_RNA from 1 species